UUUUUUUUUGAAGAAGCUAAAAUGGAAUAUAUUACUGAACGCCUGAAUAUUUCAGCACAAGAAAUGCUAAAAACCCAGCUGAAUAGUAUCAAAUACAAUCAAAGAAAUCCGGGGAACAAAAACAGGAAAAACCAAAAAAGAGAGCUACCCUGUUACAUAAUAAUUCCCAAGCAAGGUAAAGGAUUUAACCACCAAGAAUGGUAGGAGAAAACAAAACU
rnacentral:lncRNA from 1 species